UACGUAGGGUGCAAGCGUUGUCCGGAAUUAUUGGGCGUAAAGAGCUCGUAGGCGGUCUGUUGCGUCGGCUGUGAAAACCCGGGGCUCAACUCCGGGCCUGCAGCCGAUACGGGCAGACUAGAGUUCGGCAGGGGAGACUGGAAUUCCUGGUGUAGCGGUGAAAUGCGCAGAUAUCUGGAGGAACACCAGUGGCGAAGGCGCCGCUCUGGGCCGUGACUGACGCUGAAGAGCGAAAGCGUGGGUAGCAAACAGG
rnacentral:rRNA from 1 species